GAUGAACGCUGGCGGCGUGCCUAAUACAUGCAAGUCGAGCGAACAGACGAGGAGCUUGCUCCUCUGACGUUAGCGGCGGACGGGUGAGUAACACGUGGAUAACCUACCUAUAAGACUGGGAUAACUUCGGGAAACCGGAGCUAAUACCGGAUAAUAUAUUGAACCGCAUGGUUCAAUAGUGAAAGACGGUUUUGCUGUCACUUAUAGAUGGAUCCGCGCCGCAUUAGCUAGUUGGUAAGGUAACGGCUUACCAAGGCAACGAUGCGUAGCCGACCUGAGAGGGUGGUCGGCCACACGGGAACUGAGACACGUUCCAGACUCCUACGGGAGGCAGCAGUAGGGAAUCUUCCGCAAUGGGCGAGAGCCUGACGGAGCGACGCCGCGUGAGUGAUGAAGGUCUUCGGAUCGUAAAACUCUGUUAUUAGUGAAGAACAAAUGUGUAAGUAACUAUGCACGUCUUGACGGUACCUAAUCAGAAAGCCACGGCUAACUACGUG
rnacentral:rRNA from 1 species